UUGUAUAGAAUCAUAUUUAUUACCUUCUUUAUGAGAAAUGUUUUAUCUGUGUGUACAAUAAUAUUUAAUUAUAAAUAUCAAUUCUAUCAGCGCACUUUCUCUCGUUCUCUCUCUCACUUACUCACCCAAUCAUACCCUUUCUCUCAGGCGCACGUACGUGCGGAUUUCGCUUACACCUAUCACUUGAUCCUUAACACUGUUAUCACUGUUACUUUAGUUUCUCUAUCUACUCUUGUUUUGACAACAAUAUCUUUUUUUUCUCUUGUUUACCAGACUCGACCUGAUUAGGAAUUAUCACAAUGAAAGUCGUCCUAUGCGAUCCUUAAGACUAAUCUGUAGUUCAACAAUUAAGUGGAAGCGUUAAAAAAUCAUGAGCCAUUGUAUAGCCAGAGAGAGAGAGAAGGGGGGAGAGAUACGAUGCCGCGUGAAAACAAAUAUGACGCAAUAACAAAAGACAGAGAAGAAAAAAAGAAAGAAAAGCAAUAGCAAAUCCGAAAUA